UUUCAAUUUAUUUUUAGUAAACUCAUGUUCUGUUAUAGAUGCCUGUUCUCAUAACUUGCCCAGAAGCUCAAACAUGAAUUCUAGGAAAACCCUUUCGCACUUUGACAGAGUUGGGUGUUUUGAAUUCAACCAUGGAAGUAUCAUUUUGACUAAUGUUGGUAGAGAGAGGCUUGAAAGAUAACAUGUCACUGGUUUAUUUUCAUCACUUUGUAUCUACAUGCUUGCAUGCAAUCCAGUUGCUGCCCGACUUAAAGGGAAGAUGAGAGGAAUUUGAAGCAAACUGGCUGUGUAGCUGCUCUGGACAAAAAAAAUAAAUUCUUGAGCAUGUGCA
rnacentral:lncRNA from 1 species